rnacentral:snoRNA from 1 species
CCCAUGGAUGAAUGAUGUAAUUUCGUGUUGUUAGGGACAUCUGAGUUAAUGUGAUGAGACACAACACUCUGACUCAAUGGG